rnacentral:tRNA from 1 species
AGGCUCAGCAGGGGUUUGAACCCUGGAUCUUUGGUUUACAAGACCAACACCUUACCACUUGGCCACUAGGCU